rnacentral:rRNA from 1 species
UUUGAAGGAUUGACAGGUUGAUAGCCCUUUCUUGAUUAAAUGGGUGGUGGUGCAUGGCCGUUCUUAGUUGGUGGAGUGAUUUGUCUGGUUAAUUCCGAUAACGAACGAGACCUCAGUUAAUAAAUAGGGGAUAUAAUCUUUACUGAUUGUAUUUAAUUUAACCCUUCUUAUUGAGACUUUUGGUUUACAAGCCAAAGGAAGUUUGAGGCAAUAACAGGUCUGUGAUGCCCUUAGAUGUUCUGGGCCGCACGCGCGCUACACUGAUAAAUUCAAAAAGUAUCUCUAUUUAAUUAUAGAGUCCUUACUUGGAAAAGUUGGGUAAUCUUUUUUAAAAUUUAUCGUGAUGGGGAUAGAUGAUUGCAAUUAUUCAUCUUGAACGAGGAAUUCCUAGUAAGCGCAAGUCAUCAGCUUGCGUUGAUUACGUCCCUGCCCCUUGUACACACCGCCCGUCGCUACUACCGAUUGAAUGAUAAGAUGAAAAUCUUUGGAUUUAUUAAAAUUAACUAGGGUAAAACUUAGUCUUUUGAUGAAAAAAGUCGAUUAAAUCUUAUUAUUUAGAGG